rnacentral:rRNA from 1 species
UACAGGGGGUGCAAACGUUGCUCGGAAUUAUUGGGCGUAAAGCGCGCGUAGGCGGCCACUUAAGUCGGAUGUGAAAGCCCCUGGCUCAACUGGGGAAGUGCACCCGAAACUGAAUGGCUUGAAUACAAAAGAGGGUCGCGGAAUUCCCGGUGUAGAGGUGAAAUUCGUAGAUAUCGGGAGGAACACCGGUGGCGAAGGCGGCGACCUGGGUUGAUAUUGACACUGAGGCGCGAAAGCCAGGGGAGCAAACGGG